rnacentral:misc_RNA from 1 species
AAAGCUUCAAUCUUUUUUCUCUAAUAUUUCUUUUUCUUGAUAGAAUAAUUAGGUUUUUACAUCUAGAAGGAAAAGGAAUCGACCCUUUUGGUUCUUCUUUCUUCUGAGCUCCAAAAAUCAUUUUUUUUCUUGUUUAUUUGGUCCUUUUAACUGUUUUGUUCAUUUUGAAGCUCCUAUAUAGUAAUUUAAGCAGGAAUUUGAGGUGGGG